AUGAACGCUAGCUACAGGCUUAACACAUGCAAGUCGAGGGGCAGCAUGAACUUAGCUUGCUAAGUUUGAUGGCGACCGGCGCACGGGUGAGUAACACGUAUCCAACCUGCCGAUGACUCGGGGAUAGCCUUUCGAAAGAAAGAUUAAUACCCGAUGGCAUAGUUCUUCCGCAUGGUAGAACUAUUAAAGGAUUUCGGUCAUCGAUGGGGAUGCGUUCCAUUAGGUUGUUGGCGGGGUAACGGCCCACCAAGCCUUCGAUGGAUAGGGGUUCUGAGAGGAAGGUCCCCCACAUUGGAACUGAGACACGGUCCAAACUCCUACGGGAGGCAGCAGUGAGGAAUAUUGGUCAAUGGACGAGAGUCUGAACCAGCCAAGUAGCGUGAAGGAUGACUGCCCUAUGGGUUGUAAACUUCUUUUAUACGGGAAUAAAGUGAGGCACGUGUGCCUUUUUGUAUGUACCGUAUGAAUAAGGAUCGGCUAACUCCGUGCCAGCAGCCGCGGUAAUACGGAGGAUCCGAGCGUUAUCCGGAUUUAUUGGGUUUAAAGGGAGCGUAGGCGGACGCUUAAGUCAGUUGUGAAAGUUUGCGGCUCAACCGUAAAAUUGCAGUUGAUACUGGGUGUCUUGAGUACAGUAGAGGCAGGCGGAAUUCGUGGUGUAGCGGUGAAAUGCUUAGAUAUCACGAAGAACUCCGAUUGCGAAGGCAGCCUGCUGGACUGUAACUGACGCUGAUGCUCGAAAGUGUGGGUAUCAAACAGGAUUAGAUACCCUGGUAGUCCACACCGUAAACGAUGAUUACUAGGUGUUGGAGGAUUGACCCCUUCAGUGCCGCAGUUAACACAAUAAGUAAUCCACCUGGGGAGUACGACCGCAAGGUUGAAACUCAAAGGAAUUGACGGGGGCCCGCACAAGCAGUGGAGUAUGUGGUUUAAUUCGACGCAACGCGAAGAACCUUACCAAGUCUUGACAUCCUGCGACGCGCAUAGAAAUAUGUGUUUCCUUCGGGACGCAGAGACAGGUGGUGCAUGGUUGUCGUCAGCUCGUGUCGUGAGAUGUUGGGUUAAGUCCCGCAACGAGCGCAACCCUUAUGGUCAGUUACUACGCAAGAGGACUCUGGCCAGACUGCCGUUGACAAAACGGAGGAAGGUGGGGAUGACGUCAAAUCAGCACGGCCCUUACGUCCGGGGCUACACACGUGUUACAAUGGGGGGUACAGAAGGCAGCUACACGGCGACGUGAUGCUAAUCCCGAAAGCCUCUCUCAGUUCGGAUUGGAGUCUGCAACCCGACUCCAUGAAGCUGGAUUCGCUAGUAAUCGCGCAUCAGCCACGGCGCGGUGAAUACGUUCCCGGGCCUUGUACACACCGCCCGUCAAGCCAUGAAAGCCGGGGGUACCUGAAGUGCGUAACCGCAAGGAGCGCCCUAGGGUAAAACUGGUGAUUGGGGCU
rnacentral:rRNA from 1 species